CCUACGGGAGGCAGCAGUGGGGAAUAUUGCACAAUGGGCGAAAGCCUGAUGCAGCAACGCCGCGUGCGGGAUGACGGCCUUCGGGUUGUAAACCGCUUUCAGUAGGGACGAAGCUAACGUGACGGUACCUACAGAAGAAGCACCGGCCAACUACGUGCCAGCACCCGCGGUGAUACGUAGGGUGCGAGCGUUGUCCGGAAUUAUUGGGCGUAGAGGGAUUGUAGGCGGUCCGUCGCGUCGAAAGUGAAAACUCAGGGCUCAACCCUGAGCCUGCUUUCGAUACGGGUGGACUAGAGGUAUGCAGGGGAGAACGGAAUUCCUGGUGGAGCGGUGGAAUGCGCACAUAUCAGGAGGAACACCGGUGGCGAAGGCGGUUCUCUGGGCAUUACCUGACGCUGAGAAUCGAAAGCGUGGGGAGCAAACAGGCUUACAUACCCUGGUAGUCCACGCCGUAAACGGUGGGCACUAGGUGUGGGGGACAUUCCACGUUCUCCGUGCCGAAGCUAACGCAUUAAGUGCCCCGCCUGGGGAGUACGGCCGCAAGGCUAAAACUCAAAGGAAUUGACGGGGGCCCGCACAAGCGGCGGAGCAUGCGGAUUAAUUCGAUGCAACGCGAAGAACCUUACCUGGGUUUGACAUAUGCCGGAAAGCUGCAGAGACGUAGCCCCCGCAAGGUCGGUAUACAGGUGGUGCAUGGCUGUCGUCAGCUCGUGUCGUGAGAUGUUGGGUUAAGUCCCGCAACGAGCGCAACCCUCGUCCUAUGUUGCCAGCGGGUCAUGCCGGGGACUCAUAGGAGACUGCCGGGGUCAACUCGGAGGAAGGUGGGGAUGACGUCAAGUCAUCAUGCCCCUUAUGUCCAGGGCUUCACGCAUGCUACAAUGGCUGGUACAAAGGCUGCGAGAUCGCAAGGUAAGCGAAUCUCAAAAGCCAGUCUCAGUUCGGAUUGGGGUCUGCACUCACCCAUGAAGUCGGAAUGCUCAGUAUCCCACAUCAGCAACAUCGCGGAUGAAUACCUUCGCGGG
rnacentral:rRNA from 1 species